GAUCAUGGCUCAGGAUGAACGCUAGCUACAGGCUUAACACAUGCAAGUCGAGGGGCAGCAUGACCUAGCAAUAGGUUGAUGGCGACCGGCGCACGGGUGAGUAACACGUAUCCAACCUACCGGUUAUUCCGGGAUAGCCUUUCGAAAGAAAGAUUGAUACCGGAUAGUAUAACGAGAAGGCAUCUUCUUGUUAUUAAAGAAUUUCGAUAACCGAUGGGGAUGCGUUCCAUUAGUUUAUUGGCGGGGUAACGG
rnacentral:rRNA from 1 species